ensembl:lncRNA
UUGAGGAAGAGAUCAGCCAUUUCAACAGACAACGAGAAUAUCCAGAGUUGUCAUAACUCAUGCCGAUAAAAAUUUUGGAGAGGAUGUACAACUCUUCGCCUUGGGGUCUAAGCCAAGCAGAAGAGACCGAGGGCCUUGGUGUAAGAGGAGCGGGACUGGGGCAGAUUACCUCACCGUCUGACUAUGGCCGGGGGCCUGAGCCCCCGCUAACCACGUAGCCCCGGGACUGCUAGGGACAUCUCCCAUCUUCCUGGCUUGGGGACAGCAUCCACCUGGCCAACGAGAGGGAGGGAUGAGGUGAAACGUGACAUGGUCCUGGUCACCCCUCAAGGUACCACAAAGACCUUCCCCUGUGCCACAGGGCUGGGCCUGCUCUACAUUCCUGCCAAGCAGCGCUGGAAGCUGAUGGGACUCAUGUGGAAGGCCAGUCCCGCCAGCAGGAGCUACUGGCUGGGGGCCGCUGAGGAGGGCAGUUACACUUUAACUCACUGAGCCCCUGGAGCCUGCUGCUGGGAGUGUCGGUGUAAUGAUUAAAGCACUGACCGAGGUGGCAUAAACUCUGCAUGGUCUGGCUGCUGGGUUAUGUGGUGGCAGCAAGUCACGGCUUCACACACUGCAGCCACCAGGUCCACCUGGGUAUGACUGUCCUUCAAAUCCCUGUGGCUCACAGAGAGGGUCUCGCUAUUUGAUUUCUAGGUAUUUAAGACCUAAUAAACGGCUCAGCUCAGCCCUUCAUACAGGAACAAGAGGAAGAAGAGAAAGUAGCUGAAAGGAAGAGGGCUGCAAUAGGAGAAGCUCUGGAGUCCUUGCCCUGCCCUCCAGCCUGUGGAACUCAGCAUCCAGAAAUGCAGCUCCAGACCCUCAGUCCUGCUAUGGGUGCCUGACAGGCCCAGAACAGCUGUGCUUCCCAAAGUAGGGGCAAACUGGGCAGAGGAUGGCCCAGAAGCUGUGUAGCAGUGCCUAUGCAGGGGCCGCAUGCCACCACACGAGGUUGGCAAUGAGCGUUACUGGCUGUCUCUGUUUGACCUCAGAGAAGUGCAGCCACCAGCAGCACCACCAGAUGCAGGAAUUACUUUCAGGGAUACUUUGAGUGCAUCACCAAGAUGUGUAUUCCACAAAUUCCACCUUGACUCAUGGAAGUCUCACUGUUCGGCUCCUUCCAAUUCACCCCCUUCAGCUUGCUCCUAUCACUGCCACUAAAACCACCAACAGGAGCAUGGAGCUAAUUCAAAGACAAAAAAUAUCUGUUCUGGUGGAAGGAGUAGCAGAAACCCCUUGAAAGGUGACACGGAAUGGACAUGGGGUUGGACUCCACUGCAUGCAGAGAGGACUAUGGGGAAAUCUAUUGUGCAGAGGCAAUGGGGACAGAAUCAAUCAUUAAGGCUGGAAAGGACCUCUUAUAUCAUCCAGUCCAACUGCCAGUCCAUCCCCACUAUGCCCACUAACCAUGUUCCAGUGCCACAGCCACAUGGCUUUUGAACACCUCCAGGAACAGUGACUCCACCACCUCCCUGGGCAGCCUGUUCCAAUAUAUCACCACUCAUCAGAAUAAGUUUUUCCUAACAUCCAACCUGAACCUCUCCUGGUACAACUUAAGGCCAGAAGGAACACCCAAAGGGAUAAGGGCUUAUGAGCACGACAAAAACUAGACUGGGACAACAUUUACAUUAUGAAAAGUUGCAGCCAUGUUACCUUCUGAUGAUAAGGUCUCCUGCUUCUGAAGAGGACCUGACAGCACCACUAUUGUGGUAGAAAGGAAGGAGCAGCAUGAAGAUGACUGGAGCCAAAGAAGUGCUUGUGGUGUCAGGGAGCUGCAUUAAACAAUUUUUUGCAGUUGAUCAGAUGUAGCAGCUUCCUUGGUGUGCCGUGACACUGUCUUCCACCAACAUUAGUCACAGCUGAGUCUCUGACUGUAAAGUUCAAACCACAACCAGUUCCAGUUGUGGACACAACUCAUUAUUAAAUCAAUGAGUCUUAAUCACACCAUGACAUCUUGCAAAGAACAUCUGGACGACAACUGAUGCUACACAGGAGCCCCUCCUGCCGGCAGUUGUUGCCCCUAGUGCCCAGUGAGGAGCAGCCCUGGCCAUGUUCACAUGCCUUUUCCAUCUUCCCGUGAUGACCUGCAGUAGGUUAAUGUUCUGGAUAAAGCACACUUGGGGGGAAAUUAGAUGAAAAGAAGGCAACCAACCACUCUCUU